rnacentral:tRNA from 1 species
UGCCUCCGUAGCUCAACUGGAUAGAGCACCGGUCUUCGGAACCGGGGGUUAGGGGUUCGAAUCCCUUCGGGGGUAU